GGAGAGGUACCGAAGUGGCCAUAACGGGGGCGACUCGAAAUCGCCUGUUCUGGGAGACCGGGACCGUGGGUUCGAAUCCCACCCUCUCCGCCA
rnacentral:tRNA from 1 species